GACAGAGGGGGCAAGCGUUGCUCGGAAUCACCGGGCGUAAAGGGCGCGUAGGCGGGAUGGCAAGUCAGUCGUGAAAUCUCUCGGCUCAACCGAGAAACGUCGGCUGAUACUGCCGUUCUUGAGGGAUGCAGAGGAGACUGGAAUUCCCGGUGUAGCGGUGAAAUGUGUAGAGAUCGGGAGGAACACCGGUGGCGAAGGCGGGUCUCUGGGCAUUUCCUGACGCUGAGGCGCGAAAGCGUGGGGAGCAAACGGG
rnacentral:rRNA from 1 species